UCUCUAGCAAGUCAAUGUACAGAAGAAGAAGCCGAACUGAGAAUCAGCAAGGCCUCAAGCAGACAGGUGAGCUCAAUAAAUACUCAUUGGCUUUUAUCCCCCCCCCAGCACUGAGUUUUGAAUCUUUUUAAUGAACAUAUGUUGGAAAGCGAGGAUCUGUGGUAGUGUGUGGUACAUUUCCUCUCACAAGUCUAGGAUCUACCUGGAGACACACAUUUUGCUAAAGCAGACUGUUCAUAAGGAGAAAUGUUGGUUAGAACAAUGAUCCCCAAGUAUUAUGGAUGCCUCCUUCCCUAUUCAGGAGUUACUAAAGGAGAAAAAUAGACUUGAAUGUUUUUGAAAAGAUUUCAAAGUUAAAUUUCUUGGACCUGAAAUGAUGCUGAAUUAAAAUAUGGGCAGUUAAAAUAAUAGAUAAUGGCCAACAUUUAUUGAAUAAUUACUGUGUUCCAGAAACUGUUCUUAGUGCUUUUGCAUGUACCUAACUUUUUUCCUUCAUGAUAACUUUAUGUGCUAAGUAGUGAACCAAUAUCCAUUUAAAAGAUGAAGAAACCAAGGCACAUACCUUUUGAAUAUCUUUAAGUAAUGUGCUCACCCGAGCAGUGAGGGGAGAAACGAGAUUCAAAUUUGGUUAUUUCACUUUGGAGAUUAUAUUCCUAAGCAUAAUUUCUAUAUAAUAUUGUAAAACAUACUAUUUUAAGGUCUCUUUUCCUCUCAACUUUUUUCCUUUAAUAGCAAGAAAAGAAUCUUUCUAUUUUUUCCUUUAAUAGCAAGAAAAAGAAAAUGGGUAAAGCCCAAGACCUUUCAGUGUUUCUGUACUCCUCCUUUCCAUUGUCUAUUGCCACUCCCAACAAACAUAUUUUAGAUCUGCAUGUGCCGGUAAAACCUGCAAAGGCUGAUAAUCACAUACAGUUAUUAUCACUACCAUCUUUGUGAGCGCUAAACUUGUUGGGAUUUCCUCAGGCAAUGAAUGAUCAAACAUACUUGGAUAGGCAAAAGUGUAAGUUGAAAAGUGGAAGAAAAUAUUUGUUGAUGAACUGGAGUUGCAGGCAGACAUUUGUGCCUCAGGAACACAACAGGACCUGGAAAGAGAAGUUGAAAUCUAUUUACCAUCUUUACAAGAUAAAGGAAGAUACACAGAAAUGCCCAAGCAUGAGGAAUUAGGAAGACUUUUCUUUUCACGAGACUCUCCUCAGCACAUAGGUUCAAGGUGUUUGCUUGACGGGAAAAUUUGGAGGUGAAUGGUGCCAGUAUGGUGAGCUUGACCUGAGCAGAUCCCUGGCCUGGGAAAUUUCAUAUGCCAUGGGUGUGGCCCCCCCAAAAAAAGUAAUUGGGUGUUUUUUAAUAGUCUUUACAGAUGAAAUGCAUUAUGCAAAUUACUCUGUACUUAGUGAGGACACUACUACAUAAUCUGAACAAUUGUUAAAUCAUCUGGGUCUAUUUAGCAGUAUGGAGGAAGCCUGGCUUGUCUAAUGCACAUUCUUUUUCCAGUUUAACCUCAGUUAAUCCUUGUAGGGUCUCUGUGACGUUGGUCUAUAUCAACCUUUUUAAAUGACUGUUGCAAAAAGACAGAUGCAGAGUUUAUGUGUUCAUGAUCACCCAGCACACUGCACACCAAACUGAGUUUGGAAAUCCAGAACUUCUGGUUCUACUUUGGGAACUUUUUCAGGGAAUUUGAUUACGGUUCCUUACCUGAGGUUUUAAAAAAUCUGAUUUAAAUCUCCAUCCAGAAUUUUACCUGGAUGCAUUCCCUCAUUUUCCUUUUCGUGAAAUUGCAGUUAAGCCAGAGGCAAAAGCUUCCACAAGGCAAUCCUAGUGAUCUUUUUGACCUAAGUGGAGACAUGCGAUUCCACAUUGAGGCCAAUUUUGUAAGAAUUUCCACUAGUCUGUAGACUGUAAUAAUUGGGUUAUUUGGAUAAGGCUUGGCAAAGCAUCUAGUAGAUUAACUGAAUGAGGUUUCUGGAGCUUUGCCAUUUUGGAGCCAUCCAUUUUGUUCUUUGUUCUACCUCAUUAAAAAUGGGCUAUUGAAAUCGGUCGGUUUGUUGGUAUGUCAGCUUUUUCUUUCUUUUUUUUUUUUUCUUUCCUAUUCUUUAAAUCUGAGCCCUUAAUUUAAAUGAAAGCAAGCUCUUCAGUCUAAGUGGAUAACAAAACAUCCCUUUGAGGAGGAGGAAGUAGAUGAUAAAAUCUGUGUGUUACUAAUUUUUUUCAAUAGUUUAGAGGAAUUUCUUUUCCAUCCUGUGUGUGUGUUUUUAAGACCCUGUUAAGUUCAUAGUUCCUUUUUCUUUUCUUGUUUGAAUAGAAAAUCAUUCUCUUUAAUCCCACCUGAGUUUUAAAAAUGUAUUAUUGAACUACCCAGUUCAGGAAUUCAGUGGCCUGCUUUACUGAAUGGAGAUAUGUAUGACCUGAUAGUAAAAGAAUGCUAUUCAAAGACAUUUCCGCCUGUUUCUUGGAUCAGUUACUGUUCUCAUAAAUCUGGAAAAAAGCCAAAAUAUGUAAACAAAUUAAGAGUUUUAGGAUCCCAGUGGGAAUAUCUGUAAAUUCUACCAUAAACCAGGAAUUUAAGAUUAAGUGCAAUAUGCUAUAAUAAGAUAGCAUCAAGAAGCAACUAUAGACCAAAUAUUCUUGGCUCUGGUUUGGGAACCUUAAAGGAUAUUAAAAGAUUUGGGCUAAUCAUGGAGUUAUGCAUAACAUUACUCCUUCCCAAACCUAUAUGUUGCCUAAAUGGAACUUUGUUUUUGUUGUAAUAACUUUUAACUCUUGCUUAAUAUCAAAUAAACUUUCAACUCUGAAGCCACUGUUUUAUAUCCUUUUAGCACACAUAUAUAUACAUACAUAUAUAUAUAUACAUAUAUAUAAAUAAUGUCAGUUAUUUACCCUUAUAAUUAAGAAAGGGUUGGUGACUCUUUACACAUCUGUAUAAAUAUGUGAAUACAGUAAAGGACAGUUUUAUAGUUUGGAGAAUUUUUCACUAGUUUUUUGAUACUCACUCGGAUUCUUGCAACUCUCUCUGAACUGAAAAUUGUAGUCUUUUUAGUUUUUUUGAACCAGAGUUAAAACUUAAUGUAAAUCUUGCUUUUAAGGAAAAAAAAAUUAAUUCUUCCAUUAUUAUAUGUUUAUUAAUUUCUUCUCAUUUAUUUUUUUUUUUGUGUGUAGAGAGAGAAAGAGGGAAUGCGAUUGUAGAUAANGUAAACAUCUACACAAAUAUACAUAUUUUCAUGUCAACAUUUUCUUGAAAGAGUUUUCUAAAACAAUUGCUGUGGUAGGCUUAUGUUAUGUCAGUAUGUACAAGAAGAACUUUAGGGAUUAGGUAUUACAGAUUUAGCAAAGUUUAUCUUAAAUUGGGAAAGUAGAUAAAGUGUGUUGUAAAUAUUUAUGCAGAGUUAAUACGUAUUUAUUCAUAAUUAUACAUAAUUAAAAAUACUCAUCAACAAUGCAGAUUCAACACAAUUUUUUAAUGAUUGUUUAACUUUAAUAUUUGUGGCCUCACUAGCCUGAGAUGUAAAAAUGAUUUUAUACUCUUGUUUUUUCUAAAUCCAAACAAUCUAAAUUAAAACAGGAACCUACAUGGUUCCUUUUUUUUUUAAUUUUUUUUAUUAUAGUUGAUUUGUAAUGUUCCAUAAAUUUCUGCUAUACAGCAAAGUGACUCAGUUAUACAUUUAUAUAUAUUUUUUUCACAUUGCCCUCCAUCAUGUUCCAUCACAGGUGAUUAGAUAUAAUUCCCUGUGCUAUACAGCAGGAUCUCAUUGCUUAUCGAUUCCAAAUGCAAUAGUUUGCAUCCAUGGCUUCUGUCAGAAACUCACCUACCUGAAGUGUCUUCCCCAGAAAUUUCAUGCAUGUUAUAGAAUAAACACCUUAUUUUCUUUUACCCUUUAUUUUUCCUCUUGCCACCAUGCAGUUAUUACCUUCAUGAGAAAGCUACUCUAUGGGGUAACUGUUCCUGUGUGUCCCACAGCAGACCCAUAAAAGGAACUAUCCUUGCAUUCACGGUAUCAUUCUUUCUUUUUGAAGUGGGGGGAUCUUUUUAGGGCUGCACCUGUAGCAUAUGGAGUUUCUCAGGCCAGGGGUCAAAUCGGAGCUACAGCCUACACCACAGCAGCAACAACACAAGGUCUGUGCCACGUCUGUGACCUACACCACAGUUCACAGCAGCGCAGGAUCCUUAACCCACUGAGCAAGGCUAGGGAUUGGACCUGCAUCCUCAUGGAUGCUAGUCAGGUUCAUUUCUGCUGAGCCACAGUUGGAACUCCCAGGGUAUCAGUCUUAAAUGCUCUUCCAGCUCACUCAGCUUGAUCUCAGAUGCAUGCAGCUCCAGGAGGUAGAGGUUUGACUUUGCUGGAAACUGAGAUCUUAUUUUGGUUGCCACAGGGAUAUAUGCUACCACCAAGAGAAGCAGAAGUAAGUAGGCCUCUCUCCACUGGGCUUGCUGUCAGAAGCACUGAGAUUCCUGGAUGUUUGGGGCCAACUACUCCUGGUCCAGAGAGAAAGCAGUGCUUACCCUCUACUCUUUCCCCAUCCAAGGGACUUGGCUUAGUUCUCCUAUUAAAACUAGACAAGAGGAAUGUGCAUAUUGAACUUGCUGGUUAAACACAAAACAGUAUGAACAUGAUACAUUCCCCCAAACCUGGAUUUUUUAGUCUUAGCUAUGGUCAACUUAUAACACUCUAAAAAAGAUUGCUUUUUUCAAAAAUAUAUUUACCUGGGAGGAAUAUUUUAUGAGAUUUGAAUAAAUUAAAGAAGACAGUUUUACAAGGUAACACAAGUAUGGGCAAAGUAUGUAAAAGAAAGACUGCCUUUUUCCUUUAUUAAAUCUUUUGCGAUCUCUAUUGUGGUAAAAGUAUCUUGGAGACUAACAAGUAAUUCAAUAAUAAUUGCCAUUAAGUUGUGUUUUACUCUUUGCCAAAUAAAUUUUUCAUAUCUGAUGUAACUCUCUUGAGAACUCAGUUUUCCAUAUUUUAUAGAAGAGCCUGAGGCUCACAGAGGCCCAGUGAAGACUCAGAGCUUGAAAGUGGCACCGUCAGUACCACAAUCCUGUAUUUCUUAAUUCCCCCUACACAGCUUCUCAUCAAUAGGAUCUAAAAGUUAUCCUAAAUAACAAUAAAAAAUGAUCAAUAAUAGAUAUGGUGAUAAAUAUUUAGAAUCUACUUAAUCAGUUGUGUUCCAGCUUUUGUUUUGAUUCUCAUUCUUCUAUGGCCUCUGGCCAAAUGGCAGAGUUAUUCAUUAACAGCAGAUGUGAACUGCAUAGCCAACCAAAUCUUGACCACUAAUUAUUGAGCAUUUCUUAUGUUCAAGACUUCUGGGCCCUGUGGAAAUCUUACAAAGAGAUAAAAGCACAUUCUACAAAGCAAUAAGGUGGGAUUCCUUGAAACUUUGUAAAAAUUGAGAAAAGUAAAUGAAAAUUAUGACAAUAGAGGGAGUUCCCAUCAUGGCUUAGUGGAUUAAGGACCUGACUAGUAUUCAUGAGGAUACGGGUUCAUCCCUGGCUUUGCUCAGUGGGUUAAGGAUCUGGCAUUGCCACAAGCUGCAUUGUAGGUCACAGAUGCAGCUUGAAUCCCAUGUUGCUGUGGCUGUUGUGUAGGCCUACACCUGUAGCGCUACUUCAGCCCCUAAUGUAGGAACUUCCAUAUGCCAUGAAUGCAGCCCUAAAAAGACCAAAAAAAAAAAAAAAA
ensembl:lncRNA